GAUUGAACGCUGGCGGCAGGCCUAACACAUGCAAGUCGAACGGUAACAGGAAGCAGCUUGCUGCUUUGCUGACGAGUGGCGGACGGGUGAGUAAUGUCUGGGAAACUGCCUGAUGGAGGGGGAUAACUACUGGAAACGGUGGCUAAUACCGCAUAACGUCGCAAGACCAAAGAGGGGGACCUUCGGGCCUCUUGCCAUCAGAUGUGCCCAGAUGGGAUUAGCUKGUUGGUGAGGUAACGGCUCACCAAGGCGACGAUCCCUAGCUGGUCUGAGAGGAUGACCAGCCACACUGGAACUGAGACACGGUCCAGACUCCUACGGGAGGCAGCAGUGGGGAAUAUUGCACAAUGGGCGCAAGCCUGAUGCAGCCAUGCCGCGUGUAUGAAGAAGGCCUUCGGGUUGUAAAGUACUUUCAGCGGGGAGGAAGG
rnacentral:rRNA from 1 species